GACGAACGCUGGCGGCGUGCUUAACACAUGCAAGUCGAACGGAAAGGCCCUGCUUUUGUGGGGUGCUCGAGUGGCGAACGGGUGAGUAACACGUGAGUAACCUGCCCUUGACUUUGGGAUAACUUCAGGAAACUGGGGCUAAUACCGGACAGGAGCUCUUGCUGCAUGGUGGGGGUUGGAAAGUUUCGGCGGUUGGGGAUGGAAUCGCGGCGUAUCAGCUUGUUGGUGGGGUAGUGGCUUACCAAGGCUUUGACGGGUAGCCGGCCUGCGAGGGUGACCGGCCACAUUGGGACUGAGAUACGGCCCAGACUCCUACGGGAGGCAGCAGUGGGGAAUAUUGCACAAUGGGCUGAAGCCUGAUGCAGCAACGCCGCGUGCGGGAUGACGGCCUUCGGGUUGUAAACCGCUUUCGCCUGUGACGAAGCGUGAGUGACGGUAAUGGGUAAAGAAGCACCGGCUAACUACGUG
rnacentral:rRNA from 1 species